AAUACUGCAUCAUUACAUUAUACUGGUGUUCGAUUAUGAUACUACGAAACAAUAUUACGUUUGAAGACUUCAAAUAAUGCUGAAUUUAAAAGUUUAAAAAAAAAAAUGCGAUUCCAUGAUUAACUUCAAAAAUAAAAAAUUAUAUCUCGAUUCUCACAUACAGAUAUGCAUAACGUAUCGGUUUUUCUUCCGAACGUUUGUCUCGUUUUUGAUGAUUUUUACCGAAUUUACAUUGUAGCUCCGAAUCGAGCAUCGAUUAAGGCCUCGAUUUCGUUAAGAUUCAGGCCCCGGUGUUACGCGUACCGGGCAUGUAUAAUUAUAGUCGCGAUAUAUUUCACGCGGUCGGAGGUGGAAACCCGUACCUAUUAUACGCGUUAAAAUAUUGUAUUCAGUCGUUUGGCACUGUCUCGCUCUAUACGUUAUACAAACAUAUAUGUACAAGACGACGAAAUGGAAAAUUCACGGACACAAUAAUCGGGUUUCGAUCGCCCACGAAUAACGUCUGGGCAUAUUCGAUAUCGUAAAUACGCCGUGUACCUAUAAUGUCCGUAAUAAAAACGGUCGCGGGACGCGCGUUUGUAAAACGAGAAAAACAAACGCAAGAAACUCUAUAAUAAUAAUUAUAUGUACGGAAAAAAAUAAAAAAAAAAUAAUAAUAAUAAAAAUAUAUAUAUAUAUAAAAACAUUGACAGUUUUGUUGCGAACGGAAUAAAAUAAUAUAAUGCGAAGCGGUACCCGCCCAUAUGUAUGUGCGGAAUAUGCAUACGCGAUAAAUAAUAUUAUACACACAUUUCGGAUAGGAUCGAACGCGACG